UUCACUACCUAUCGUAUGUCUAACUUACUAUGCUAUGUGCAAAACUACAUAUACGCAGCAAGUCUCCCUAUCCCUACAGUGCAUACAGGUUCACUAGUAAAACAUUGUAUAAAUACUUGUACGAAGUCAAUGAUACUAACGGCCUAAUAGUGUGAAAUGCGUCUUUGAUCUAGAAUGUGGAGUAAUUGAACAGUUAAUUAGGGAAAUGAUGAGCCAUCCCCAAUAUCCAAGUCACGUUUCAACGGUUCCAGUUUCAAGCUGCUGUCAGAUAGGAAGAUUCCCUCGACACACUUACUUUUAUAUACCUCUGAAAUGGCCGUAAGCUGGGCCGCUUCUACAUGUUCGACCCCCGCAAGAUGUCCGUGGAGGAGUUCUUCGGGGACCUCAAGACCUUCAAGACCAUGUUUGAGCCUCCGGCUCCACUGCUUAUAGACUGGACUCACUCACCUGUUUUUCCGUCUGUGGGAAAUCCUCUGCAGCAGCACGUUUCCUGCUAACGGUCCUCUGUGUGGUGCCAGGUUUAACUAAUGUGUGUGUGUGUGUGUGUGUGUGUGUGUGUUGAGCCAAUCCCUUCAUCUCGGUCUGUGGGCUUGGGGCCGGGGCUAAUAACGACGGCCACAGAGACGUUUAAUGAAGAAGGGUCUGGGCGCUGAACAGGGGAGGGACGCUGUUGAUUGGGGCAGAGGGUUUCCAUGGCAACCGCACUACGCCGGGAGAAAACAAAAGGGGCAAGACGUCGGGCAUUUUGGGCUCAUGAAUUCACGCUGUUCGAUGUUUCAAUGUGCGCUUUGUCGAUAUAGAUGCAUUAUUGAAUGAAUUGUGACAGCUGAGAGCUUUCAAAACAAUGGAUUAAAACCUGUUCAA